CAGCAGCCGCGGUAACACGAGGGGGGCAAGCGUUGUUCGGAAUUAUUGGGCGUAAAGGGUGCGUAGGCGGUUUGGCAAGUUUGGUGUGAAAUCUUCGGGCUCAACUCGAAGUCUGCAUCGAAAACUGCCGGGCUUGAGUAUGGGAGAGGUGAGUGGAAUUUUCGGUGUAGCGGUGAAAUGCGUAGAUAUCGGAAGGAACACCUGUGGCGAAAGCGGCUCACUGGACCAUAACUGACGCUGAUGCACGAAAGCUAGGGGAGCAAACAGGAUUAGAUACCCCAGUAGUCCCUGUCUCUUAUAC
rnacentral:rRNA from 1 species